rnacentral:sRNA from 1 species
GAUUAUCAUCAUCGCCAC